AAACGCAAUUUGGUAGACUAAUAACUCCAAAAACAUCUGCAGGAAACUUCCCUGUUUUUGCAUACAUAAUAUUGGCUUUCUCCAGUUUACUUCUUUGCUUCCAUCACUUUCACAAGAGACUUUCCAUGCAUCACCAGGACCGCUCUUUCCUUUGAAAUUCCAUAUUUAGAUUUUUCCAUAAUUAGGUUUUUAUCACCUAAUGCUCAAUCGAGCACUAUUUCAAUAAAUGAUGAAACCAACAUUUAAUCGUCAUUCCUUCACUAACCGGUCAACUGAGGACCCUGGUGUACGCUCACUCGAGCAAGUGGGCAUCACAUGGACGUCAUUAGUUCCAUAUGGUUUCGAACGAUCGAAGUUUAGGGUUUCGAACGAACACUCAACAAAUUAUCAUUCUGAGCAUGUUCGAGCAACAACCAAACACCACCUCCUCUUCAUACUCAUUUUCUCUACCGUCUGCAAAAACCAUCACUUCACCUGCACCUCUUAGUUCGCCUUCCCCCAUCAAUCAACUUUUUAACCGACCAUUUUUUUAUCUCAGCAACCUUCCUAGCCACUAUCAAUCAAUAUCCUAGCCUCUAUCUAUCUCCAUCAUAGUUUCUUCUCCAAACAGUAACCUUAGAAUCUAGGAUUGAGAGAGAUGAAGCUAGGGUUAUCUUCAAAAUCAAACAUCAAAUCAAAGAGCUGGAAAGUCGAAUUGCAGAAGGGGUUUGUCGGGAAAACGCGUUUUGAGUGAGUGGUUAUCUUCUAAUUGUAAAAUUCUAGUGUUCGAGAAGAGAAUUGGGUAUAAAUAGGGUUCUCCGUGAAUUAUGUGCCUGCGAAUACUAUCUCUGCGAAACAAGGAAAGGAAGAAAACGGAGCAGGACAAUUUGUGGAUUUGUCUAAACCCGGUGUUGCGCCGGCGGUCUGUUCUUCAACUCCUUUCCACUCUAAUUGUUUAUGUGAUUGACGUACCAUCUUGUUGCUGAGCUAGUUAACGCUUCACCAUCAUAAAACCUCUUUAACUGUUGGUAUUGUUGUGCAUAUUCCUGUGACAACUGAGUGAUGUAAUGACCUGCUAAAUUUGUUAUUCCACUGUUGAUUUCUCAACCACAACAGAACCUGUGCAUGGUUUCAUCCCUGAAACUGAUUGAAUCUGUGUGCUAUUCUGUGCUCUGUGCAUUACUACUUGUCUAGGCAGUAUAACUAUUUGAAUCUGUGUACAAAGGCAUGAUCCUGUGAUUUUUGAGCUAUACGCUGGUUAGCUUAAAUUGUUGUUAGCUGUGCUAAACUCUUAUGAUUAUGAAUCUCUGAAUCUGUCUUCCUACU